rnacentral:lncRNA from 1 species
UUUUGUAAUAUUUCUAUUUUUUUUUUCUUAUGUCAUGCUUUACAUUUAAGGACACCAAUACGAGCAUGUACAUGAUGUUCUAUAAAGACAAGAUUUAGACUUGAAAAAUCACAAGAAGAAAUUAUAGAAAAAAAAGAUGUUUGGGAGUAUACUUUAUUUUGAGAAGGGGUCAUCGUCCAGGCCGAGAGUCCUGACCAAGGCGUUGACUUCCUGACACUACUUGUGCCAAAGUAGGGAGCACACGAGCCG